rnacentral:ncRNA from 1 species
CUAGAAACAAGCCACACCCGCAGCGAUGCGGGGCCGGAAAGCCGCGGAUCUCUUACGAGACAGCCGGGUUGCCUAG